GUGCGUGUAGCCCAAUGGCAGGAGGCAACGGCUUCAAAACCCGUCCAGUGAAGGUUCGAGUCCUUCCACGCACA
rnacentral:tRNA from 1 species